AUCCAGCCGACGAGUCCCAAAUAGAACGAAAUGCGCAUCCUGAAU
rnacentral:hammerhead_ribozyme from 1 species